UACGUAGGGGCUAGCGUUAUCCGGAAUUACUGGGCGUAAAGGGUGCGUAGGUGGUUUCUUAAGUCAGAGGUGAAAGGCUACGGCUCAACCGUAGUAAGCCUUUGAAACUGGGAAACUUGAGUGCAGGAGAGGAGAGUGGAAUUCCUAGUGUAGCGGUGAAAUGCGUAGAUAUUAGGAGGAACACCAGUUGCGAAGGCGGCUCUCUGGUCUGUAACUGACACUGAGGCGCGAAAGCGUGGGGAGCAAACAGGAUUAGAUACCCCUGUAGUCCCUGAGCGGG
rnacentral:rRNA from 1 species